UGGGGAAUAUUGGACAAUGGGGGGAACCCUGAUCCAGCCAUGCCGCGUGUGUGAAGAAGGCCUUAUGGUUGUAAAGCACUUUAAGCGAGGAGGAGGGUACUGGUAUUAAUACUACCAGGUACUGGACCUUACUCGCAGAAUAAGCACCGGCUAACUCUGUGCCAGCAGCCGCGGUAAUACAGAGGGUGCGAGCGUUAAUCGGAUUUACUGGGCGUAAAGCGUGCGUAGGCGGCUAAUUGAGUCGGAUGUGAAAUCCCCGAGCUUAACUUGGGAAUUGCAUUCGAUACUGGUUAGCUAGAGUGUGGGAGAGGAUGGUAGAAUUCCAGGUGUAGCGGUGAAAUGCGUAGAGAUCUGGAGGAAUACCGAUGGCGAAGGCAGCCAUCUGGCCUAACACUGACGCUGAGGUACGAAAGCAUGGGGAGCAAACAGG
rnacentral:rRNA from 1 species